UCGAGCGGUAACAUUUCUAGCUUGCUAGAAGUAUGACGAGCGGCGGACGGGUGAGUAAUGCUUGGGAAUAUGCCUUAGGGUGGGGGACAACAGUUGGAAACGACUGCUAAUACCGCAUAACGUCUACGGACCAAAGGGGGCUUCGGCUCUCGCCCUUAGAUUAGCCCAAGUGGGAUUAGCUAGUUGGUGAGGUAAUGGCUCACCAAGGCGACGAUCCCUAGCUGGUUUGAGAGGAUGAUCAGCCACACUGGAACUGAGACACGGUCCAGACUCCUACGGGAGGCAGCAGUGGGGAAUAUUGCACAAUGGGCGCAAGCCUGAUGCAGCCAUGCCGCGUGUGUGAAGAAGGCCUUAGGGUUGUAAAGCACUUUCAGUAAGGAGGAAAGGUUAGUAGUUAAUACCUGCUAGCUGUGACGUUACUUACAGAAGAAGCACCGGCUAACUCCGUGCCAGCAGCCGCGGUAAUACGGAGGGUGCGAGCGUUAAUCGGAAUUACUGGGCGUAAAGCGUACGCAGGCGGUUUGUUAAGCGAGAUGUGAAAGCCCCGGGCUCAACCUGGGAACUGCAUUUCGAACUGGCAAACUAGAGUAUGAUAGAGGGUGGUAGAAUUUCAGGUGUAGCGGUGAAAUGCGUAGAGAUCUGAAGGAAUACCGAUGGCGAAGGCAGCCACCUUGGGUCAAUACUGACGCUCAUGUACCAAAGCGUGGGGAGCAACCGGAUUAGAUACCCCGGUAGUCC
rnacentral:rRNA from 1 species